rfam:Pongo abelii chromosome 18.
CAAGUACUGGUCUCAGCAGAUUGAGGAGAGCACCACAGUGGUCACCAUGCAGUCUGCCAAGGUUGGAGCUGC